rnacentral:rRNA from 1 species
AUUGAACGCUGGCGGCAGGCCUAACACAUGCAAGUCGAGCGAGCGGCGGACGGGUGAGUAAUGUAUGGGGACUGCCCGAUAGAGGGGGAUAACUACUGGAAACGGUGGCUAAUACCGCAUACUAUCGGAUAACCCAUAUGGGAUUAGCUAGUAGGUAGGGUAAAGGCUCACCUAGGCGACGAUCUGUAACUGGUCUGAGAGGAUGAUCAGCCACACUGGAACUGAGACACGGCCCAGACUCCUACGGAGGCAGCAGUGGGGAAUAUUGCACAAUGGGCGAAAGCCUGAUGCAGCCAUGCUGCGUGUAUGAAGAAGGCCUUAGGGUUGUAAAGCACUUUAAGUGGGGAGGCGUUACCAGCAGAAUAAGCACCGGCUAACUCCGUGCCAGCAGCCGCGGUAAUUC